AAGGCAGAGCUCCCUCCUCCCCAAAAAAAGGCGAGACGACGAGACGGGACGGGACGGCGCGCGCCAGACAGGCAGACAGACAGACAGAGAGGGAAGAGGAGGCCGAGGCGCGACCCACCCCAAGCAAGCCCUAGGCGACGCGACGACGGCCGCCGCGGCGAAGGCGUGCCCGGAUUCGGGGCUCAUCCGCUCGGCCCGGCCAUGUCCACCAAGAGGGUUCUUUGCAAGUUCUUCAUGCAUGGUGCUUGCUUGAAAGGAGAGUAUUGUGAGUUCUCCCAUGACUGGAGUGACCAAUCAAAUAAUGUUUGCACGUUUUACCAGAGAGGCUCAUGCUCUUAUGGUAGCCGUUGCAGAUAUGACCAUGUCAAAGUUUCUCGUAACAACCCAGUGCCUCCACUACCAUCAUCAAGUGCCGCAACACGUAACCCAGUUCGCCCGCCACCAUCGUCAAGUACUGCAACACAUGUUGCAUCUACAUCUCUACAACUUCUAAGUUCUGGACGUCCUCUUCACCCGGGACACCAAACAAACUCAAGCAACCAAAGGCAACAGAUAUCUAUGGAUAAGCUGUCACUUUCUGAAAGUAAGCCUGCAUGGAGGAAUGAGGUCCAACCUGACAGUGUAUCAGAGGAUGGGAUUGACUGGUCAUCCAUUCAAACUGCGCAAAACCAAACUUCCAUGAAACUUGCUGAUAUGCCAAUUUGUUCUUUUGCUGCUGCUGGUAACUGCCCGUAUGGUGAAGAGUGCCCUCACAUGCAUGGGGAUUUGUGUGCGUUCUGUGGGAAAAUGUGCUUGCAUCCUUAUCGUCCUGAUGAGAGGCAGGAGCAUAUCAAGCUAUGUGAAAAGAACCACAAGCGGCUUGAGGCUUUGAAGCGCAGUCAAGAAAUAGAAUGCAGUGUCUGCUUGGACCGUGUGCUCUCAAAGCCUACUGCUGCUGAAAGGAAAUUUGGACUAUUAUCUGAGUGUGAUCAUCCCUUCUGUAUUUCAUGCAUAAGAAAUUGGCGUGGCAACUCUCCUACAUCUGGUAUGGAUGUGAACUCAGCACUGAGAGCUUGCCCAAUAUGCCGCAAACUUUCGUACUAUGUCAUUCCAAGUGUUCUUUGGUACUUCUCGAAAGAGGAAAAGUUGGAGAUCACUGAAAACUACAAAGCAAAGCUCAAGUCAAUAGAUUGCAAGUACUUCGAUUUCGGAACGGGCACUUGCCCCUUCGGGACAAGCUGUUUCUACAAGCAUGCUUACAGAGAUGGCCGUUUGGAAGAAGUCGUACUGCGACAUCUUGAUUGUGAUGAUGGAAGUACACUUAUUGCUAAGAACAUUAGGUUGUCAGACUUCCUCGGUCGGUUGCAUCUCUAGGGACCAGCGGCUGCAUAUAUAUCGAAUGCAUCAUUCUGGGAUUUCGAUGUCUACCAAAUAUUUGCAGUAUUCUGAAGACAUCAGUUUAAAAUCGAGGCAUCUUCGAAAACUGCUGCUUUUCUCCAAUUUAUUGGUGGUUGCUUUGUCGCCAAACAUACAAAGAAAAUUCAAAGUUCGCUGCUGGACACCUGGAUGACCUUGUAGUGCUAUUGACCAGUGGAACAAUGGGAAAGAAGUUAUGCCGCGAGUAUGCUUGAAAAGUGAAAAAAAAACAUAAUUAGAACUGCUGAAACGCCUUUCCGUAUGCACUUUGUGUUGCUUCCUGGGUGGUCACCAGUGAUUCGGUAGAACGUUACCUGGCCAUUGUGCGAACGACCGGUGUGUAAUACUCGGCCGUAAUACUCAUUUCCAAACCGCCAUUUCCCUGACGAGGAAGGCUACCGCACCAACAACUGGUGAACUGAGACCGUUUGGUUGUAUAACGUGUACGCUGGAGGAAAAAUGGAAAAGAAUUCAAAGAAUACGCUUCAUACUUGAUGAUGUUAUGAAGUUUGAUUGGUCA